UACGUAGGGGGCAAGCGUUAUCCGGAAUUACUGGGUGUAAAGGGAGAGUAGGCGGCAAGGUAAGCGAUAUGUGAAAGCCUUAGGCUUAACCCGAGGAUUGCAUAACGAACUAUCUAGCUAGAGUACAGGAGAGGAAAGCGGAAUUCCUAGUGUAGCGGUGAAAUGCGUAGAUAUUAGGAAGAACACCAGUGGCGAAGGCGGCUUUCUGGACUGAAACUGACGCUGAGGCUCGAAAGCGUGGGGAGCGAACAGG
rnacentral:rRNA from 1 species